rnacentral:lncRNA from 1 species
CUGAACUCGAAUGGAGGACUGAAAGAUAAUAAAUGCCAUCACACAGCAGUAUGUACAGGAAAGCGUAAAUAUUAAAUAAUGAAUCUUUAUGAUAUACCUGCAAAGUCAAAUGUAUUAUUUAACUUCAGCUCAUCACAGGCAGCCAGGCAAGAUAUGUGAUGGAGUUAGAACUGGGUCAAAGGCAUACCUGGGAAGACCUGAACAUCUCCUUCACUGAUAAGUGGCCUGGAUAUCCCAAGGAUGCCAUUCUGCAGCUGCUUAGAAGAGGAGUCAUUCAGAGCUGCAGCUUGUUGGCUGCAGAAAGCAAAUGAGAUUUGGGAGGAGAAGAAUUGAACCCCACAGCAACAGCUUGUGGUGGAGGGGAAUAGAGAACUGUCGAGCACACUGAGCAUCAACAACAGAUGGGUUUUUGUGCAAAACAUGGUGUCAUGGUUAGCCUGGGAAUGAAAAAAUGAUGGCUUUCCAUCUCUACAUCAAAGCGUUCAGGAAGAAUAGGUACAUUUUUGAUGGUUUGAACUUGUAGGUGGGGAUUGGCUCAUUUCUCCUUCCUAUCCUUCCUCCUUCCUAAAGAAACCCUUUUGCUUUUUCUCUAUUUCCUCAAGACCUUCAUCUAUGCAGAAAAUCCUUCAGCCUCUAAGAAACUGAUAUUUUGGCAACCUCCAGUCCCUAAUACUAUUCAUUACUGCCAGUUUAGCUGAGCUGAGUUUGGUGCCCUUCAAGUUCACAAGCUGAUGUUUGCAGAUUACUGUAUAGAAGCAUUGCUGGGAAACAUAGAGCAGUAGAUGGAGUGUGCUAGGUAAGCAGAAGAGAUAAGAAGUGACUGGACAAGAACCAGGCAGGUUGGAUUAUUUGGAGGAACCAGGUGUGAGAUGGCUUUUCCUUUCAGCUGCCAGAAACAAAACUGAAGACCCAGUGACUUUGUCUUAGUGCUGCUGGAAAACUCCUUACUUUGCAUAGCAUGUACAAUUCGUAGUAGAAUUCUUAAAAAAAAGAAAAAAGGUAUUUACAUACAGAAUUAUAAUGUUUUGCACAGC